rnacentral:rRNA from 1 species
AACGAACGCUGGCGGCAGGCUUAACACAUGCAAGUCAAGCGCGUAGCAAUACGAGCGGCAGACGGGUGAGUAACGCGUGGGAAUCUACCCAACCCUACGGAAUAACCCAGGGAAACUUGGACUAAUACCGUAUACGCCCUUUGGGGGAAAGAUUUAUCGGGGAUGGAUGAGCCCGCGUUGGAUUAGCUAGUUGGUGGGGUAAAGGCCUACCAAGGCGACGAUCCAUAGCUGGUCUGAGAGGAUGAUCAGCCACAUUGGGACUGAGACACGGCCCAAACUCCUACGGGAGGCAGCAGUGGGGAAUAUUGGACAAUGGGCGCAAGCCUGAUCCAGCCAUGCCGCGUGAGUGAUGAAGGCCCUGGGGUUGUAAAGCUCUUUCACCGGAGAAGAUAAUGACGGUAUCCGGAGAAGAAGCCCCGGCUAACUUCGUGCCAGCAGCCGCCGUAAUAC